rnacentral:rRNA from 1 species
CCUACGGGAGGCAGCAGUGGGGAAUAUUGGACAAUGGGCGCAAGCCUGAUCCAGCCAUGCCGCGUGAGUGAUGAAGGCCUUAGGGUUGUAAAGCUCUUUUAUCCGGGACGAUAAUGACGGUAUCCGGAGAAGAAGCCCCGGCUAACUUCGUGCCAGCAGCCGCGGU